UUAUCCAGUCUACCGUUGAUGGGCAUUUAGGUUGGUUCCAGGUCUUGGCUAUUGUGAAUUGAGCUGCAAUAAACAUUAGGGUGCAGACCGCUUUUUUGUUUGCCAAUUUAAAUUCCUUUGGGUAAAUUCCAAGGAGUGGGAUUGCUGGGUUGAAUGGUAGGGUUAUAUUCAGGUUUCUGAGGAAUCUCCAGACUGACUUCCAUAGUGGCUUGACCUGUUUGCAUUCCCACCAACAGUGGGUUAGUGUCCCUUUUUCCACACAUCCUCUCCAGCAUCUGUUGUUGGUAGAUUUCUGAAUGUGAGCCAUUCUAACAGGGGUGAGGUGAAACCUCAUUGUGGUUUUGAUUUGCAUUUCCCUGAUGGCUAGUGAUCUUGAACAUUUUUUCAUGUGUCUGUUGGCCAUUGGAUUUCCUCUUUUGAAAAAUGUCUAUUGAGGUCCUUGGCCCAUCUCUUAAGUGGGUUGUUUGUUUUGAUCUUGUGGAGUUGCUUGAUUUCUUUGUAGAUUCUGGUUAUUAACCCUUUAUCAGUUGCAUAGUUUGCAAAUAUAUUUUCCCAUUCUGUCGGUUGUCUCUUCACUUUCCUGACUGUUUCUUUUGCAGUACAGAAACUUCUCAAUUUGAUGCAAUCCCAAAUGUUAAUUUUGGCUUUGACUGCCUGUGCUUCUGGGGUGUUUUCCAAGAAGUCA